rnacentral:rRNA from 1 species
GUGCCAGCAGCCGCGGUAAUACGUAGGUGGCGAGCGUUGUCCGGAUUUACUGGGCGUAAAGGGCUUGUAGGCGGUCCGCUAAGUCCGGUGUGAAAUCUCCCGGCUCAACUGGGAGGGGUCAUCGGAUACUGGCGGACUUGAGGGGGGUAGAGGAAAGCAGAAUUCCUGGUGUAGCGGUGAAAUGCGUAGAUAUCAGGAGGAAUACCAGUGGCGAAGGCGGCUUUCUGGGCCUACCCUGACGCUGAGGAGCGAAAGCGUGGGGAGCAAACCGGAUUAGAAACCCUUGUAGUCC